GAGGGCAUAGCCCAGUGGCAGAGCGCAUGCUUAGCACGCAUGAGGUCCUGGGUUCAAUCCCCGGUACCUCCA
rfam:Camelus ferus unplaced genomic scaffold scaffold157, whole genome shotgun sequence.